CUGCCAGCCCCCAUCCCACCCUCUGCAUUAAGGACAGAAGAAAACAGGCCCCGAGGAAGAAUUACUUUUCAUCUCUGCAAAGCCUUGAGAGCUGUGGUAGGCAAUGGUUCCAAGGAAGCUUCCUCUAUAGGUGGAAAUUUAUGAUUGAGGAAAUCCAGGAUUGGAGAGAUUCUGUGAUGUGUCCAAAGUUGGCAGAACCAGGACUUAACCUCAAGUUGUCUCCAACCUACGAAGGCAAAACAGAAGCUUGGAGUGCUGGAUCAAUGUGCCAGGAUAGCACUGGACCUAGCAGUGGCAGCGCUGGCCUGAUGCCCAAGGUUUUUCCAGCAAGCAAGCUGCUUCCUCCUGUCCUGGUCCUGAGCUUUGUCUUCUCAAGGGCUAUGCUACCUGUGUUCUCUUUGGCAGCUGCUCAAACAACCUCAGUAUCCUGACACAAGGUGGCACUUCGUUUGGGGAGCUGCAGCACAGGGCUAGUCUAUUGUUGCUGAGGAAAAAGCUGUCAACAGAUAACAGGCUUCCUUUCUCAUGAAGCUGUGGUUUUCCAGCCUCAGGGACUGAAAAAAUCUUUCUCAAAGUGAAGAGCUGCUGUCAAUUCCUCACUCUGCUGCCCUGCUUCCCUGGGCUGCAUCUCUGCCUGUCUGAAUCUGACCCAUUCUUCAAAGCCCAACUUAAAUGCCACUUCCUCCAUGGAGCCUUUUCUGAUUUUUUCCUUCCUCCCAGGCUCCUCCUCCCUGCCAUGCUGGGUAUGACACACCUUCUUCCAAAUACACUCACUUGCUGUGACUGUCCUUAAAGAGAUAAAUAGUUGACUUUUCUGAGCCUUAAUUACGUCCUUUCUAAAACUGAAAUAAUAUCUGCCUUUAUAUCUGGCUGUUAUGCGUCAAAAGAAAUAAUAUACAUAAGUCACAGUCCCAGGCACACAGAACGCUCUUACAUAUGUUAGUCUAGUGUUAUCACACUCAAAUGUACACCCGCACAGCCCUGCACAUUCACACGCAGAUUUUCUCUGUAUGUGUUAGGACCCUUAUUCUUUCUACCUUCUAUAAUAAUUAUGGGUGUAGGUUCCUGGGGUGAGGGUAGGGAAAUAGAGUGUAGUGAAAAGAAAAAGGAUUUGGAAUUAAAAAUUUCGGUCUUCCCCUCAACCAGCUGUGUGACUGAGAUCAAGUUUACUUCUCCUCUCUGAGUUUCUUCCUUCAUAAAAGAGAGAUAACCAAAAAAUGUGCUUCAUAGUCUCUUCAUGUAUCAAUACAUUAUCAAAAUAAGA